AAUCCCCUGCUAUGUUCGUGAUUGAAUAGUGCCCCUUGACCCAACACCUAUGAAAAAGGGAGCCUUCCCUGGCUUUGGUGUGCAAGUUCCGCAUGUACGGAAAAGCCUGAAGAAGUCAUAAGGCGCCCACCUCAAUGAGCCCGGUUCAAGGCUCUUUCAACACGGCGUGGCGGGGGUUAU
rnacentral:other from 1 species